rnacentral:miRNA from 1 species
AUAAGACGAGCGAAAAGCUUCU